rnacentral:rRNA from 1 species
GACGAACGCUGGCGGCGUGCCUAACACAUGCAAGUUGAGCGACGAACCAGGGCUUGCCCUGGGGCAAAGCAGCGAACGGGUGAGUAACACGUGGGUAACCUACCCCGAUAACCGGGACAACCCGAGGAAACUCGGGCUAAUACCGGAUGUGCUCACUGGACUUCGGUUCAGUGCGUAAAGGAAGCUUCGGCCUCCGUAUCGGGAGGGGCCCGCGGCCCAUUAGUUUGUUGGUGAGGUAACGGCUCACCAAGACCGCGAUGGGUAGCUGGUCUGAGAGGACAAUCAGCCACACUGGGACUGAGACACGGCCCAGACUCCUACGGGAGGCAGCAGUGGGGAAUCUUGCGCAAUGCGCGAAAGCGUGACGCAGCAACGCCGCGUGGGGGAAGAAGGCCUUCGGGUUGUAAACCCCUUUCAGGAGGGACGAAGGUUCGGCGGUGAAUAGCCGUCCGGACUGACGGUACCUCCACAAGAAGCCCCGGCCAACUACGU